rnacentral:lncRNA from 1 species
CGGCUCGUCGUCGAGCAGGCCUGCGAGAACGGCGCCGUGGAGGCGACGCACGGCGCCCAUGACGCCCCGUGCGCUACAGCGAGCGCCCCACCGACGCGCCAUGCCCAUCACGACAUCUAGCGGCGCAUGCGAGGCCGCCAUGUCCAUCUCUCGUGUGCCGAUUGUUACGGACGGUAUGCGCGCGGCAGACUCGACCAGAGAGAGGUCGGCGGUGCGCAUGGCAUCGGCGAGCAGAGCCUGGGCUGCUCGCGCCACCAUGUGCGGGUAGGCCUUGCAGAACCGCUCGACAUGGUCCCAGUGAUGACCACGCACGAGGUGGACCAACGCGUCGACGUGGCGGCCGAGGCGCCUGUGGCGCACGAGGACGCCGAUGAGGUCGGCAUCGAAUUCCCACUGCCAAAUCUGGAAGCCGACCGUGGUGUCGCUGUGCGCCAGCACCCAGUCCAACGUCGCCACAGCGCCCGUGUCGGCGGCCGACGUGGCAUAGUCCUCCGUGCCGCAGGCGCCGAUGCCCACGGCCCGCGCCAUCGAGAGAUCGAACGCACGCGGAUAGGAACUCCCGCGAUUGGCCGGCUCCCUGGACCACCAGAGGCCUCCAUUUCCGUAAAUGCGCCCGACCUUGCAUGGCAGACCGAGUGCGUGUCGGCGCGCGCAUAUGGCCGUAGCCGCGAUGCGAUCGCCCGCCAUCAUGGCGCGCUCCAGUGUGAUCAUGGAAUCGUCGGGGUGCAGCAAAUGGUCGGCCAGGUACGACUCGGCGCGCGUCUGAUAGGAGGCGACAUCCCGGCCGAGUUCCUCGGAAACCGCGGUUCUGGCGUGCCCGAUGACAAAGUCGAGGACAUCGUAACGCGCGCCUUCCACGGCGGUCAGAGCGAUCAUCGCCCAGUUGACAUGAAGGGCUGCCUGGCGGGCUGCGCACCACCCGGCGAUCGGCAGGGCGAGCGACGACAGCGGUAACCGCCUGAUUUUCGGUGGUCCAGCGUGGGGCCGGGCGGUGGCGCACACGAGGUCCAAGGCGCGGUCCGCCAUUGCUGGAUCGCUCGCGGCGACGGCGGCAUCGAGUGCGGUGUUUGGGUCCAGGGCACCCACAUCGGCGAGCCAGUCGAGCGCGCCCUCUGUGCGAGACAAAACAGCGCAGGCCGUGGCAGGCGCGGCAUAGAGCGCCACGUCGCCCCCCGGAAGUCGUCGCAUGGCCUCACAAACGAGGCGCGCCACGGCCCAUUUGUCGGCCAGGUGAGCGGCGGGACGCCCCACCGCGGCCCAUACCCUGUCAAGGAGCGUGUGGCAAAAGGCGCCGGUGACGAGCGCCCUGGCGAGGCGCGCAUCACGCGGCGCCCUGGCCAAGAGGUAGGCGACGGUACGCGGGUGGGCCUUGUCGAUCGCGACGCCUAGUGCGUCUUUGGUGCGGUCGGUGAGGCGCGCCACAUCGCACAGGAAGCGCACGGCGUCGGUCCGGCCACAUGCGGCCGCCUCCACCAGGGCCCGCGAGGUAAGUACGCGGCGUCGAAGGAGGCGACAGAGCACGGGGACAAAGCCGAGUCGCGCCAGGCGGUCGGGCGCCAGCGACAGCCGGCGGAGUCGGGCUCCAUGACGCCAUAGUGUCUGUCGAUCGAGGACGUGAAAAAGGCGCGACGCAAGGACGCACGCGCACACCCACAAGUCGCCCUUGUCGACCAAGGCCAGUCGGGCCAGCACGUGGGCGAUCAUCUCGGGCGGCAGCAUGCUGAUGGGCGCGACGUCGACGGGGGACGCCACCGAGGCCCAAAAGAGAGCGGGCGGGGUGAGGCCGCGGCGGUGCAUGGUCUUGGUAUGAUGCGCGGGGACCCUCACAGAGGAGCGACGGCGAGGGCGAGGAGUGGUAACCGACCGCUCAAAGAAAGCGAGUUGGCGAAACACAACGCCUGUCCCUCGUCAUCCCAUCAGAGCGCCGGCGUGUGGUCUUUUUCUUUGACAAAGGCAGCCAACCAGGUCGGCCGGUUGCGCUCAC